CGCGGUGUAACUGACGGAAGUGGAAUCGACCACGGGGAGCAUCGCCUCUGAAUUGCCGACCGUCUGGGCGCAC
rnacentral:ncRNA from 1 species